GACGAACGCUGGCGGCGUGCCUAAUACAUGCAAGUCGAACGCAGUGGCGAACGCGUGAGUAACGCGUAGGUAACUGCCUCAUAGCGGGGGAUAACUCUUGGAAAAGAUAGCUAAUACCGCAAACUGUGAGAUGGAUCUGCGUUGGAUUAGCGAGUUGGUGAGGGACAGGCUCACCAAGGCGACGAGACAUAGCCUACCGGGGAGGGAGAUCGGCAAAACUUGGACUUGGAAACGGCCCAAACUCCUACGGGGGGCAGCAGGAGGGAAUCUUCGGCCAUGGACGGAAGUCUGACCGAACAACGCCGCGUGAGUGAAGAAAGUUUUCGGAUCGGAAAGCUCUGUUGUUAGGGAAGCGGUAACUAACCAGAAAGGGACGGCUAACUACGUGCCAGCAGCCGCGGUAAUAC
rnacentral:rRNA from 1 species